GUGCUCACUUCAACAGCAUAUAUACUAGAAUUGGAAUGAUACAGAGAAUAAUAGCAUGGCUCCUGAACAAGGAUGACAUGCAAAUUUGUGAAGCACUCCAUAUUUUU